AUGGCCACCUUCCCAUGUUUCUUCUUCGGCCUUCAGUGCAUCGAACACCCCACUGGUGCCUCUGUGAACGUUGCCAAGUUUGGCCACCACCAAGACCCUCUAAUCCUGCACCCGGAGCCCAAGUUUGAAGACUACUUGGAUGUGCAUCUCACUUGUGCCACUUUGGAUCAUCAAGCCUGUUUCGGGAUUCGCCAAGUACCGCUACGCCCGAAGACCACGGAUCCGCGAAGUUCCACUACCGUCGCCGUGGAUUCGACAAGUACCCCGGCAACGUGUACCACUACCGUCGACCUUCGAAGGACAUGGUUUUGCCGAGUACCCCUUCGUGUUGUAAAGACCGUCAAGUCCUUCGACGACAAGUGCAUGACCACACGUAUUAUGCCAAGUACCCCUUCGAGCUAUCAAGACCGCAAGCGCCAAGUUACUCGAUGA
rnacentral:rRNA from 1 species